GCUUAACACAUGCAAGUCGAGCGGUAAGGCCCUUCGGGGUACACGAGCGGCGAACGGGUGAGUAACACGUGGGUGAUCUGCCUCGCACUCUGGGAUAAGCCUGGGAAACUGGGUCUAAUACCGGAUAUGACUCUCGGUCGCAUGACCGGGGGUGGAAAGAUUUAUCGGUGCGAGAUGAGCCCGCGGCCUAUCAGCUUGUUGGUGGGGUAAUGGCCCACCAAGGCGACGACGGGUAGCCGGCCUGAGAGGGCGACCGGCCACACUGGGACUGAGACACGGCCCAGACUCCUACGGGAGGCAGCAGUGGGGAAUAUUGCACAAUGGGCGGAAGCCUGAUGCAGCGACGCCGCGUGAGGGAUGACGGCCUUCGGGUUGUAAACCUCUUUCGACAGGGACGAAGCGCAAGUGACGGUACCUGUAGAAGAAGCACCGGCCAACUACGUGCCAGCAGCCGCGGUAAUACGUAGGGUGCGAGCGUUGUCCGGAAUUACUGGGCGUAAAGAGCUUGUAGGCGGCUUGUCGCGUCGAUCGUGAAAACUCACAGCUCAACUGUGAGCUUGCGGUCGAUACGGGCAGGCUUGAGUACUGCAGGGGAGACUGGAAUUC
rnacentral:rRNA from 1 species